UUACAAUCUAAUAUAAUAGUGAUGGUGGAUGUAGCUCAGUUGGUUUAGAGCAUCAGAUUGUGGUUCUGAGGGGCGCCGGUUCAAAUCCGGUCUUCCACCC
rnacentral:tRNA from 1 species